rnacentral:rRNA from 1 species
GACGAACGCUGGCGGCGUGCUUAACACAUGCAAGUCGAACGGAAAGGCCCUGCUUUUGUGGUGUGCUCGAGUGGCGAACGGGUGAGUAACACGUGAGUAACCUGCCCUUGACUUUGGGAUAACUUCAGGAAACUGGGGCUAAUACCGGAUAGGAGCUCCUGCUGCAUGGUUGGGGUUGGAAAGUUUCGGCGGUUGGGGAUGGACUCGCGGCUUAUCAGCUUGUUGGUGGGGUAGUGGCUUACCAAGGCUUUGACGGGUAGCCGGCCUGAGAGGGUGACCGGCCACAUUGGGACUGAGAUACGGCCCAGACUCCUACGGGAGGCAGCAGUGGGGAAUAUUGCACAAUGGGCGGAAGCCUGAUGCAGCAACGCCGCGUGCGGGAUGACGGCCUUCGGGUUGUAAACCGCUUUCGCCUGUGACGAAGCGUGAGUGACGGUAAUGGGUAAAGAAGCACCGGCUAACUACGUG